UUUUCAUUCUAUUUUUCCUUUCUUCUGGUUUUUUUUUUUGCUUCUUUCCUUCUCCUCUUUCUCUCUUCUCCUCCCAUAAAAAACUUAGUCACCGCUGCUCUGUCCAACCUUUGAUCAGUCGAAUUUUCACAUCGGCUUGAAUUUCCUUCCUUUCUCUUGCUUUCUACAUGUGUUGAUUUCUUAGUCUUGAAAUUCGAAAGGUGAAGGUAUGGCAUUUGGCUAAGGGGCGAAGUUAGAACAAUAUUUUAGGGGUUAUAUUUUUAUUAUUUUUAAAGGAUUAAAUUAAAUUUUUAUAAUUUUAAGGAGAGUCAACAUAUAAUUUGAUCUUUAUUAAUUUAAAAUUUUUAAAAAAUUUAAAAAACUUAAAUUACAAUUUUUCAUUUUAGGGGCCGGCCCCAUGCCAGCCCCUAGAAUUGCCUCUGACUAAAUUCAGAUUUGAUGAUUUUGAGAAUAAUUUUUGAAAAAAAAAAAUAGAAGCCCAAAUCCAAUCCAACAGCUUGAAAACCGUUGGCUAAUGAAGUUUGGCGACGAAUUGAGGCUUCGUCGUGGUGCUUGACGGUGAUCGGACCUCAUGCAAGUAUGGAUUUCUCUGAUUGACGACGACCGGAAUUGAGUUUCUCUGUUUGAUGAUGAGCGAAGCACAUGCAAUAACGAUGAAAUGUGGGUUUGUUGUUGAAACUGAGAAACGAGGUCCAUUGUGGAGAAGAUGAGAGGCAGGAGCAGUUGGGUCUUCCCACCAACCAGGAGAUUGAGAACCAAAACAUGCUAAAAAAAUUCAUGGCAUAGAAUCCAAAUUUUGACUUCACCAAUGCUAGGAUGAUUUGGAUGUAGAUUAUCUGUUCCUUGAUUUUCGAUUACUACGACUUUCUUAAUUAGGUUUGUUCUUGUUUAUUGUUUAUUAGUGUUUCGAAAUGAAAAGAAAAGAAAAACUAGAUUCAGAUUUUCCGGGAAAGAAAACAAGUUUUAUUUGUUAAGGGGAGGAAAAUAAGCAAAAUUAAUAGUUUAGGGUUAUCAUUUUUAAAGUUAUAAAAUUUAUUAACAUAUUCUA